UACGAAGGGGACUAGCGUUGUUCGGAUUUACUGGGCGUAAAGCGCGCGUAGGCGGAUCGCUAAGUCAGGGGGUGAAAUCCCCAGGGCUCAACCCUGGAACUGCCUUUGAUACUGACGUCUGGAGAUCGGGAGAGGUUGGUGGAAUUCCGAGUGUAGAGGUGAAAUUCGUAGAUAUUCGGAGGAACACCAGAAGCGAAGGCGGCCAACUGGCCCGAUACUGACGUGAGGCGCGAAAGGCGUGGGGAGCAAACAGG
rnacentral:rRNA from 1 species